ACUGCAUUUGCAAUAUGCCUUUAAAAUCGGGCUGCAGUACCCAGCAAUCCUCUUGCUUAAACAUUUCUUUUGGCAUUUUAAUUUUAUAAUACAAAUUGCGUGUUCAGUACCGAAACAGAUAGUGUAAGUAAACCGUAAGUAGAGUUGUUUUUCGAUGCAUUUUUUUUACCAAACUGUCGAUAUAGGUAAGGCCGCCGCGGGAAGUUGCCACCUCUUUCAUAUUUUACAGCUGAUAAUAAAUUUAAAUUGGAAAGCAAAAACAACUAUUUUAGAAAAAAAAAGAAUAAAUAUUAAAUUAAGAAAAGGCAGAUUUCCGGAACAAAAAUCUUAAAAAAGGACAGAUUUCAGGUAGGCGGAUGAUUUAAAAUUUUUUCCGGAUAAAGCGUUAAAAACAGGGCAGAUCUGUCCGGAAAAAGGACAAAUUGGCAUCACUGCUGACAUGUUACGUUUUACCUCUGUUUUACGCUUUACCAUUAUUGCCGACCGCUGCAAUAAAGGUUUAAAAACAUUGUAGUUUUUAAAUAUCGAUGUUAUUCAAUCUCAAAAUUAAUGUUUUAAAUUAAACGUAAACAUCGAACAAAUUUAAAAAAAAAAUAACAAAUAUUUAUUAAAGAUUCAUAGAAAGUCUUAAAGUUCAUAGCAAGUUCAGUGUUUCAAUUGAUAAAAAGUCACUUAUAAACUACUGUAGGUAGUUUUGUACGAGUACCUGCGUUCAAAUAUUAGUUGCUAAACAAAUCUACAAAUGAUAAAAAUUACACUAGUUAACAGCCAAAAUACUUAAAAAGCAUCCACCAUGGAUUGUAAUCCAAUAACAUUUUAAAAGAACACCACAACGCCAGGCGCACAACCGAAACCUACUAUCAUAACUACAGAUUUUUGCCAGCUGCUGAAAAAAAGAACCAGAUUUCCACCGACGGUUCGCAUCUUAUCGACUAAAAAAUUAAAAACAAUGAAAUAUAAGAAAUUAAAGAGCAUUUAUUUUUCAUACUAUA